rnacentral:rRNA from 1 species
CCCCUUAGAUGUUCUGGGCCGCACGCGCGCUACACUGAUUCGUUCAUCGAGCUUACAACCUUGACCGGCAGGUCUGGGUAAUCUUUUCAAAGCGAAUCGUGCUGGGGAUAGAUUAUUGUAAUUUUUAAUCUUAAACGAGGAAUUCCUAGUAAACGCAAGUCAUCAACUUGCAUUGAUUACGUCCCUGCCCUUUGUACACACCGCCCGUCGCUACUACCGAUUGAAUGGCUUAGUGAGCUGUGGGGACCGAGGUCUCUGUUGGGUUUCCUUCAGAGUAUCUUGCGGAACCACAUCAAACUUGAUCAUUUAGAGGGAGUAAAAGUCGUAACA